CAUGCUUUGCAGAGGCUCCGGCGUCGCUCUCAUUGGCAGCAUCAGCUUGUCGCCGAGCGGAGUCUUUGCUCGUCCGCCGCUCCGCCGAGGACGGAACCGGGAAUACAAGCGACCGUCUCCGGUCAGAUGUACAGAUCCGCAGUGAAGUAUAAGAUUACACAGGUGAAGUGAGAGGGAGAGAGAGAGAGCGCAUAAAAAAAGACCUGCAGAGCACGGAUACAUACGAGCAGAGCGCGGUGCACCACCAUAUGGCGUGGAGCAGAUCCUGGUGCAUUGUUGGAUAACGGAGGACUUUUUCGCGUUCUGCAGUUUUGGACGAAGGGAACAGAACACACGGAGCCUUUUUAAUCUUCAGUCACGGCCUGGGACGUCUGGGCAUUUCGCCCGCAAACCUAAACCCGCUGGCAUUGCGUUAAAAAUAAUUUCUUUACCUAAAGUUAUUUUUCUCCAAUUGCAUAUUCCUUUAGUUUCUUUUUUUUUUUUUCUUUUUUACAAUAUAAGGUAAGCCUGCACCAGCCGGGAGAGGAUUUGAUCUCUUUGGACCCUGCAAGAUGUUUGGAAUUUCUUUAUUGUAUUUCCAUUUUUGGCCAAACAUGACAUGACGAUACAUUUUGUAGUCGCACAACGUAAAGGCCUCGAAGGCUGUAAGAUAAUGUGAUGCUAUUUAUAAUGACAGGUUUCAGAGAAAGCUUUUCGAUGCGUCUCUUUCUUACAGUAGAGUCAAUGCAGCUGGUGGACGAACACGCAUGCAACCACAGACUCACACACACACACACACACACACACACACACACACACACAAACAGACACACACAGACGAGCGGGUUGUGUCUCUCCGUGUUCACAGCGGACCUUGAUUUAAUGUCUUACAAUUAAGGCACGCGGUGAAUGCCAAGAGAUGAUUCCUCUUUCCUCAAAUGUCUGCAGAUCCAACACACGCAUUUCACACACUACAUUAUAUUCUUUAAAAACACAGUGACGGUUUAGCUUUUGUCUGUUUUGACUGUAACGUGUAACCCUUGUACUGUUUCUCUACAGAAAAUAAAAUAAAUACACCACGA